CCUACGGGUGGCUGCAGUGGGGAAUAUUGGACAAUGGGCGAAAGCCUGAUCCAGCCAUGCCGCGUGUGUGAAGAAGGCCUUCGGGUUGUAAAGCACUUUCAGUGGGGAAGAAAGCCUUGGGGCUAAUACCCUCGAGGAAGGACAUCACCCACAGAAGAAGCACCGGCUAACUCCGUGCCAGCAGCCGCGGUAAUACGGAGGGUGCGAGCGUUAAUCGGAAUUACUGGGCGUAAAGCGCGCGUAGGCGGUCUGAUAAGCCGGUUGUGAAAGCCCCGGGCUCAACCUGGGAACGGCAUCCGGAACUGUCAGGCUAGAGUGCAGGAGAGGAAGGUAGAAUUCCCGGUGUAGCGGUGAAAUGCGUAGAGAUCGGGAGGAAUACCAGUGGCGAAGGCGGCCUUCUGGGCUGACACUGACGCUGAGGUGCGAAAGCGUGGGUAGCAAACAGGAUUAGAUACCCCAGUAGUC
rnacentral:rRNA from 1 species